rnacentral:tRNA from 1 species
CGGGGAAUGGCUCGUCAUGGUAGAGCAUCGUGGGGCGUCGUUGCAGCGAGCGCUAGAUGCAAAGCCCUGAUUUCAUUGGGCUUUUCGGAGAUAUGCAAGUAUGGGGUGCUAGGGGUCGAGUGUUCGAAUCACUCCGUCCCGACCA